rnacentral:rRNA from 1 species
UACAGAGGUCUCAAGCGUUGUUCGGAUUCAUUGGGCGUAAAGGGUGCGUAGGCGGCGCGGUAAGUCGGGUGUGAAAUCUCGGAGCUUAACUCCGAAACUGCAUUCGAUACUGCCGUGCUUGAGGACUGGAGAGGAGACUGGAAUUUACGGUGUAGCGGUGAAAUGCGUAGAUAUCGUAAGGAAGACCAGUGGCGAAGGCGGGUCUCUGGACAGUUCCUGACGCUGAGCACGAAGGUCAGGGGAGCAAACGGG